UCCCUGGUGGCUCAGAGGGUAAAGCAUCUGCCUGCAAUGCAGGAGACCUGGGUUUAAUCCCUGGGUCGGGAA
rnacentral:tRNA from 1 species